UCAUGUGAGUUAACAUCUGCAUCUCCUUGUGCAAGCAUUUCAGAUAGAUGUUUCCUGGCUGCAAUGUAUAUGCCACACACACUCUUCUUGGAAUCUUCACUGCCAUUGAUAGUACUCUCUUCAGGUGAAACAUGCCGCCUGGAACUAGUCUCUAUCUCCUCUCCCAGACAGGAGUUUUGACUCAUGAUGUCAGAUGACAAUGCAUCAGGAUCAUUGCAUGGAUUCUUCUUAGCAGAAGAUUUUAGUCUUCUUCUUCUGAUGAUCCUACUGAGAAUGAAUGAACUCCCCUUUUUGGCCUUGUUGCAUGUAGCUUGUGU
rnacentral:lncRNA from 1 species